rnacentral:tRNA from 1 species
GCCUGGCUGGCUCAGUAGGUAGAGCAUGUGACUCUUGAUCUCAGGGUCAUGAGUUCAAACCCCACUCUGGGCA